rfam:Salmo salar isolate Sally breed double haploid chromosome ssa24, whole genome shotgun sequence.
UGGCUCAGUUUGUAGAGCAUGGUGUUUGCAAUGCCAGGGUUGUGGGUUCGAUUCCCAC